CUACGUGCCAGCAGCCGCGGUAAUACGUAGGUCCCGAGCGUUGUCCGGAUUUAUUGGGCGUAAAGCGAGCGCAGGCGGUUAGAUAAGUCUGAAGUUAAAGGCUGUGGCUUAACCAUAGUACGCUUUGGAAACUGUUUAACUUGAGUGCAAGAGGGGAGAGUGGAAUUCCAUGUGUAGCGGUGAAAUGCGUAGAUAUAUGGAGGAACACCGGUGGCGAAAGCGGCUCUCUGGCUUGUAACUGACGCUGAGGCUCGAAAGCGUGGGGAGCAAACAGGAUUAGAUACCCUGGUAGUCCACGCCGUAAACGAUGAGUGCUAGGUGUUAGACCCUUUCCGGGGUUUAGUGCCGUAGCUAACGCAUUAAGCACUCCGCCUGGGGAGUACGACCGCAAGGUUGAAACUCAAAGGAAUUGACGGGGGCCCGCACAAGCGGAGGAACAUGUGGUUUAAUUCGAAGCAACGCGAAGAACCUUACCAGGUCUUGACAUCCCUCUGACCGCUCUAGAAAUAGAGUUUUC
rnacentral:rRNA from 1 species